CUCGGAUUGGCACCUACAUCAAGAGCACUCAUCCAAUGCCAACCAAACCGAGAACAAGGUUGUCCAAACCAAAACCAAGGCUACCCAAAGGUAUCCUCCAAGAAACGAAGGUAAACCAAAUUCUACUUCCCAUCCUAAGGGAUUUCAAUGUUUUAAAUGUCAAUGGUGGGGGCACAAGGCUAGUGAAUGCCCAAAUCGAAGGAAUGUAAUCCUUAGGGAGAGAAAAUUAUAUUACCUUGGUGAUGAGGUAGGACUUGAAUCAAAUUAGGGUGAUGAAAAAGCUCAAGAUGGAGAGCUUGAAGCCGAGGUGGAUAUUGAGAAAGGCGGGGAAGAUGCUUGGCUGAUUGAUGGAGAGUGUGUAGUGUCUUUGUAUAUGGAAAGGAUAUUCAUGCUUAGUAAUGUUUUAGAAGAAGAAACCAAGAGUGGGGAGGGUGAAGGAGAGGAAAAGCCGAGAGCUAACGUUAUGGGAUUUGCCUAUAAAGGACCUUCAUUGCUUACUAACCGAGAUGCUAGCACUUCACCUAGAAUGGAGUCCAUUCAUCUUAUGUGCAGGUUGUAGAUUAUGUAAGUCCAAGGAGCAGAUGACCCCAUAGGACCCGUGGUUGCACAUCCUAACCUCGGGAGAAGC
rnacentral:lncRNA from 1 species